UAGAUAUUGAACACCUUACACUGCAAUAAUCGCCUGUUGCACAUAACGUCACUUUAGUGUUUUAGGUAUAAAAGUAUCACAAAGGGAAUAGAAGAUAUUGACAAAAACUGGAGGGAUUAAGAUGGCGAAAAUACCUAUUGCGAUUUUAAUGAUUAUGCUGAUGUUAAGCAUCAUUUCUCACGACAUAGUCUAUGGGACUGCCGUUAACAGACGUGGUGGCUAUGGUGCUUGGAAGAAACGGGAUAUGGUAGAGAACAUUGAUGACUUGGCAGAAGUCGAACGAUUUGUACCUGAACGAAAGACUGCUGAUUCUUAGCGUUAAAAGAUACUAAGACUUAGCUCAAGAGUACAACAAUUGAAAAAAAACCACACCAACUUUUUCGUUAGUUUAGCGAAAUUGUUUCAGAAAGAUGUUUUAUUCGAGGUUUCAGAACAUUUCCGCCGUAUACGUAGAUAUUUUCCUACGAACCAGUAAAUCUGAUUUCAUUCACUCACCUGUGCUUUAUUCAAAGUACGGCAAGGUCUUCAUUGCGUUCGCAACGGACUUUUCAACAUACUAUAAUUAUGGACACAGCUCAUCAAAUAUUCCUACGCCGUCACCCACGAAUGUAGGGCGAAAGUUAUUUUUAGUCUUUCUCUCCCUUUCCCGUAAAGGGACAAUAACACUCUUGCUUAAAGGGACAAUAACACUCUUGCUGGCUUGAAAGCUCCAGAAAAUAUAUAAUAUCUCUAUCUAAGUACUAGAUGUUUAAGUGUCCUACCUGUUGUGUAAAUUAUCCAUUACAUCCAAUUUUACUUGUCCAGAGGGUUCGAAAAUAUUUUUAAAUCGAAGUUUCAUUUGAAAAGGUUUACGUUAGACGUUUCAAACCAUUAUGUUGAAUUUUUCAAAAUUUUUAAAUAAGGUGUGUUAAGAUGAAA